AUUUCAGGAACUGAUAGUUAUUGAAUGUUAUAGAUUAUAGGAAGUAAAUAUAUUAAUAUAGAAAAUAAAUAUUGAUAGAUGGGUUAGUUGCUUAAUCUUAGGGAUUGUAUAAUCAUAGACUUGAUUUUCCUUCCUGUUUAGAUACCGUCUUUUAUAUAUAAAUAGGUUGUAAUCUUUAUUAUGAAAAACAACAAUAAAAUAUUAUAUUUCUACAUGGUAUCAGAGCCUCAUUAGAGAUUUAAAUUUUUUUGGAGACUUAUGGCUCCUGUUCUUUUGUGUUAUCCAUCUAGGAUAAUAUUUGUCUCUCACCGUUCACCUAAAGUCGCCUUGCAGCCCCUUGUCAGAUUUGUUGUUCGUUUGCUGUUUGGGUAUUGGGUGGAGGCGUUUUUUGAUACUGUUCAUUUUGGGUUAUCUAUAAAGAGUAAUAUUUAGAGACUUAGACCUCCGUUCAUUUUGAGUUACCCAUAAAGAGUAACAUUUGGAGACUUAGACCUCUAUUUACCCAUAAAGGUAAUAUUUGGAGACUUAGAGCUUGGAGACUUAGGGUUCUGUUCAUUUGGGUUACUCAUAAAGGAUAACAUUUGGAGACUUAGGGAUCUGUUUAUUUGGGUUAAUCAUAAACGGUAAUAUUUGGAGACUUAGGGCUCUGUUCAUUUGGGUUAUAAUGAUAACAUUUGGAGACUCAAGGCUCUGUUCAUCGGGUACUGUUCACGAGCACUGUUCAUCGGGUACUGUUCACUGGGUACUGUUCACAAGCACUGUUCAUCGGGUACUGUUCACGAGUCACGAGUACUGUUCACGAAUUCGAAAUUCUAUUCACAGUAAGGUGAUUAGUCUUAUUAAUCAUUCUGAAUUUGUUAAAAAAUUAAUGGAGUAUUUGGAAUUUCUAUAUUCUGGCAAAGAGAAUAUUUCUCGUAUUUAUGAUAUGUGUAAGGCAUUUUACCAAGCUGAGAAAAUGUGGUCUCCCGUUCUAGUGCUGAAUCUGAAUGUCGAGUUAUGGCAAAAAUCAUUUGUGAAGUUUUGUGGGUACGUCAAUUAUUGGAAGAAGUUAGGUUUACAAAUUCGGUGUCUGCUAAGUUGUAUGGGACGAGUUGAUUAUAUAUGUAACAAGUUGGGCAUGAUUAAUAUUUAUGCUCCAACUUGAGGGGGAGUGUUAUAGAUUAUAGGAAGUACAUAUUGAUAGAUGGAUUAGUUGCUUAAUCUUAGGGAUUAUAUAAUCAUAGACUUAAUUUUCCUUCCUGUUUAGAUACCGUCUUUUAUAUAUAAAUAGGUUGUAAUAUUUAUUAUGAAAAACAACAAAAUAUUAUAUUUCUACAUUGAAUUUCCUAGCAUAUGAAAAACACUGUUUACUAGAGAUAUAAUGAAGGUUUAGCAAAUCGAGAUUGGUGUCGAAAAGUUGGAAAGGAAUGCCCUGCAUAGUCUAAAGAUCAAAAUGUUUCUUUACUUGUUCCUAUAUGCAUAAAACUUGUGCAUCUAAUGACUUGAUUACUCUGACCUUAUUGUGAACUGUUAUCCGUGCAAACUAUAAAGCCAAAUUCUGGUUGAAGGCUUGCGUGUAAUGCACAAAAGUGGGGAUAGAGUGUAAAAGGCAAGUAUCAAUUAGAAGAAAAAGCUAAACGAAAAAAGAUAAAUGCUCCAUAAACAAAAACUCUUAACAGAAAUUUCUG
rnacentral:lncRNA from 1 species